rnacentral:rRNA from 1 species
CACCACAGCCAUAUCACCCUGCAGCCCAAGACUUGUUACUCACUGAAGAUAAGCAGGGCUGAGCCUGGUCAGUAUCUGGAUGGGAGACCACAAGGUGACACUAGGUUUCUGUUAAAA